rnacentral:rRNA from 1 species
UAGCGUAUGUUAAAGUUGUUGCGGCUAAAAAGCUCGUAGUUGGAUUUCUAGAUGAGAGGAGUGGUCCACCUCAUGGGUGUGCAUCUACUUCCGCUCGUCUAUCCGCUCUGCAAACGUGUUCGCGCUUGAGUGCGUGGCGCGGAGGUAGGGCCUUUUACUUUGAGGAAAUUAGAGUGUUCACGGCAGGCUUACGCCUUGAAUAUAUUAGCAUGGAAUAAUAACAUAGGAUCUUGGUCCUAUUUUGUUGGUUUCUAGGACUUAGAUAAUGAUUAAUAGGGACAAUUGGGGGCAUUCGUAUCGCGGUGUC